rnacentral:tRNA from 1 species
AAGCCCCGGAGCCUUUUAGGGCUCUUCUUUAAACUUGCAUUUUAAUGUGUAACACCCCGGGACC